UCCCAGACUCCUACGGGAGGCAGCAGUGGGGAAUAUUGGGCAAUGGGGGAAACCCUGAUGCAGCGACGCCGCGUGGGCGACGAAGCGCUCCGGCGCGUAAAGCCCUGUCAGCAGGGAAGAACAAAGACAGUACCUGACCAAGAAGCCCCGGCUAACUACGUGCCAGCAGCCGCGGUAAUACGUAGGGGGCAAGCGUUAUCCGGAUUUACUGGGUGUAAAGGGGGCGCAGACGGCAGCGCAAGCCAGGAGUGAAAGCCCGGGGCCCAACCCCGGGACUGCUCUUGGAACUGCGCGGCUGGAGUGCAGGAGGGGCAGGCGGAAUUCCUGGUGUAGCGGUGAAAUGCGUAGAUAUCAGGAGGAACACCGGUGGCGAAGGCGGCCUGCUGGACUGCGACUGACGUUGAGGCCCGAAAGCGUGGGGAGCAAACAGGAUUAGAUACCCCGGUAAG
rnacentral:rRNA from 1 species